rnacentral:rRNA from 1 species
AUACGGAGGAUCCGAGCGUUAUCCGGAUUUAUUGGGUUUAAAGGGUGCGCAGGCGGCCAUUUAAGUCAGCGGUUAAAUCGUGGGGCUCCACCCCAUUCUGCCGUUGAUACUGGGUGGCUUGAUUGCGGUCGAGGUUGGCGGAAUUCGUUGUGUAGCGGUGAAAUGCAUAGAUAUGACGAAGAACACCGAUUGCGUAGGCAGCUGACCAGAUCGCAAAUGACGCUCAUGCACGAAAGUGCGGGGAUCGAACAGGAUUAGAUACCCUGGUAGUCCGCACAGUAAACGAUGAAUACUUGUUUUCGGCGAUAUAAUGUCGGAGGCAAAGCGAAAGCGAUAAGUAUUCCACCUGGGGAGUACGCCGGCAACGGUGAAACUCAAAGGAAUUGGCGGGG